rnacentral:rRNA from 1 species
GAUGAACGCUGGCGGGAUGCCUAACACAUGCAAGCCGAGCGGUAUUGUUUCUUCUUACAUGAGAGAGCGACGGACGGGUGCGGAACACAUGUGCCACCUGCCUUUAUCUGGGGGAUAACCUUUCUAAAGGAAGAUUACUACUCCCUAAUAUAUUGAAAGGCAUCGAUUAAUAUUGAAAGCUCCCGCGGAUAUAGAUGGGCACCCACUACAUUAUCUAGUUGGGGAGGGAACGGCUCCCCCCGGCGAGGAUCUUUAUGGGGCCUGAGAGGGUGAUCCCCCCCACUGGGACUGAGACACGGACCACACUCCUACGGGAGGCAGCAGUGAGGAAUAUUGGUCAAUGGGUGCAAGCCUGAGCCACCCAUCCCGCGUGAAAGACAACUGCCCUAUGGGUUGUAAACUUCUUUUGUAUAGGGAUAAACCUACCCUCGCGAGGGUAGCUGAAGGAACUAUGCGAAUAAGCACCGGCUAACUCCGUGCUACCUGCCGCGGUAAUACGGAAGGCGCAAGCGGCAUACCGGAUUUCUUGAUUUUAGAGGGUCCGUAGGCGGACUUAUAAGUCAUCGGCGAGAGCAUGUCGGUAACCGAUAGUACGGCCAUUGAUACUGGAAGACUUGAGUAUAUCUUAGGGGGGUGGAAUAACUAGUGUAGCGGUGAAAUGCAUAGAUAUUACUUAGAACACCAAUUGCGAAGGCAGGCUACCGAGAUAUAUACUGACGCUGAUGGACGAAAGCGUGGGGAGCAAACAGGAUUAGAUACCCUGGUAGUCCACGCCCUAAACGAUGCUAACUCGUUUUUGGGCUUUAGGGUUCAUAGACCAAGCGAAAGUGAUAAGUUAGCCGCGUGGGGAGUACGCUCGCAAGAGUGAAACUCAAAGGAAUUGACUGGGCCCCACACAAGCGGUGGAUUGUGUGGUUUAAUUCGAUGAUACGCGAGGAACCUUCCCAAGACUUACAUGGGAUUCGGCAGCUUUAGAAAUGGAGCUUUAUUGGGGCAAUUUUCCAGGUGCUGCAUGGUUGUCGUCAGCUCGUGCCGUGAGGUGUUAGGUUAAGUCCUGCAACGAGCGCAACCCCUGUCGUUAGUUGCCAUCAUUCAGUUGGGGACUUUAGUGAGACUGCCUACGCAAGUCGAGAGGAAGGUGGGGAUGACGUCAAAUCAUCACGGCCCUUACGUCUUGGGCCUCACACGUAAUACAAUGGCCGGUACAGAGGGCAGCCACACAGCGAUGUGAUGCAAAUCUCGAAAGCCGGUUUCAGUUCGGAUUGGCGUGUGCAACUUGACUCUAUUAAGCUGGAAUCGCUAGUAAUCGCUCAUCAUCCAUGGCGCGGUGAAUACGUUCCCGGGCCU